rnacentral:rRNA from 1 species
GACGAACCGUGCGAACGUUGUUCGGAAUCACUGGGCUUAAAGGGCGCGUAGGCGGGUUCGCAAGUCAGGGGUGAAAUCUUUCAGCUUAACUGGAAAACAGCCCCUGAUACUGCGAGUCUCGAGGGAGGUAGGGGCAUGUGGAACUUCCGGUGGAGCGGUGAAAUGCGUAGAUAUCGAGAGGAACACCUGCGGCGAAGGCGGGUUGCUGGGCUGACACUGACGCUGAGGCGCGAAAGCUAGGGGAGCGAACGGG